rnacentral:tRNA from 1 species
CUAUUAGCGGUCAUACUGGUUAGGGCCUCAGGCUUGUAACCGGAGGGUUGCCGGUUCGAUCCCCGACCAGUAGG